rnacentral:rRNA from 1 species
UACAGAGGUCUCAAGCGUUGUUCGGAUUCAUUGGGCGUAAAGGGUGCGUAGGUGGCGUGGUAAGUCUGGUGUGAAAUCCCGGGGCUCAACCCCGGAACUACACUGGAUACUGCCAUGCUUGAGUACUGGAGAGGAGAUUGGAAUUUACGGUGUAGCAGUGAAAUGCGUAGAUAUCGUAAGGAAGACCAGUGGCGAAGGCGAAUCUCUGGACAGUUACUGACACUGAGGCACGAAGGCCAGGGGAGCAAACGGG